rnacentral:tRNA from 2 species
GCCGCUUUAGCUCAACUGGCAGAGCAACUGAUUUGUAAUCAGUAGGUUGAAGGUUCGAUUCCUUUAGGCGGCACCA